rnacentral:rRNA from 1 species
AUGCGAGCACGCCAUCCACCACUUCCACUCCUCCCCCUCUCUUGUUGCUGCUCCUCCCUCUUGCUUCGUCCUGCUGCUUCUCUUCUUCCCCUCGUCUUCCUCAACUUCUGCUGCUCCCUUCUUCCCCCAAACUCUGCUCUUGCAUCUUCCUUCUUCUCCUUGUCCCUACUACAGCUACUGAACCACUCCUCCUCUUGCUGUGUCUCUACUGCUCACUGCUCCCCUACUGCUGAUCCUUUCAUCAACUCUCUCUGCUGCUCCUCUCAUGCUACUAUUGCUUCUCCUCUCAACGCCUCCUACUGCUGCACUUUCUCUCCAACUCCCCUGAUGUCCAGCUACUCCUCUUCACCAACUUGCUGCAGUCAUCUCUCUCCCUCUCUCUCUCUUUCUCCCUCUCUCUAUUCUCUAAAUUUCUGUAAUCUUUGA